rnacentral:rRNA from 1 species
AGCGAACGCUGGCGGCAGGCUUAACACAUGCAAGUCGAGCGGGCGUAGCAAUACGUCAGCGGCAGACGGGUGAGUAACGCGUGGGAACAUACCUUUUGGUUCGGAACAACACAGGGAAACUUGUGCUAAUACCGGAUAAGCCCUUACGGGGAAGGAUUAUCGCCGAAGAUUGGCCCGCGUCUGAUUAGCUAGUUGGUGAGGUAACGGCUCACCAAGGCGACGAUCAGUAGCUGGCUGAGAGGAUGAUCAGCCA